AACUAUAACGGUCCUAAGGUAGCGAAAUUCCUUGUCAGGUAAGUUCUGACCCGCACGAAUGGCGUAACGAUUUGGGCGCUGUCUCAACAUGGGACCCGGCGAAAUUGUAGUAUACGUGAAGAUGCGUAUUACCCGCGACUGGACGGAGAGACCCCGUAGAGCUUUACUGUAGUCUGAUAUUGGAUUUCGGUGAUUUAUGUACAGGAUAGGUGGGAGACUUUGAAGCAUAGGCGUCAGCUUAUGUGGAGUCAACCUUGGGAUACCACCCUUAAAUUAUUGAGGUUCUAACUUUGUGCCGUAAUCCGGGCAGAGAACAGUGUCAGAUGGGCAGUUUGACUGGGGCGGUCGCCUCCUAAAAUGUAACGGAGGCGUCCAAAGGUUCCCUCAGGAUGGUUGGAAAUCAUCCAAAGAGUAUAAAGGCAGAAGGGAGCUUAACUGCGAGACAGACAUGUCGAGCAGAUACGAAAGUAGGGCUUAGUGAUCCGGCGGUAGAGUAUGGAAUUGCCGUCGCUUAACGGAUAAAAGUUACCUCGGGGAUAACAGGCUUAUCUCCCCCAAGAGUUCACAUCGACGGGGAGGUUUGGCACCUCGAUGUCGGCUCAUCACAUCCUGGAGCUGGAGUAGGUUCCAAGGGUUGGGCUGUUCGCCCAUUAAAGUGGUACGCGAGCUGGGUUCAAAACGUCGUGAGACAGUUUGGUUCAUAUCCAUCGCGGGCGCAAGAAGUUUGAGGGAGGCUGCUCCUAGUACGAGAGGACCGGAGUGGACGGAUCAACGGUGUACCAGUUGUCACGCCAGUGGCACGGCUGGAAAGCCGCAUCCGGAAAGGAUAAACGCUGAAAGCAUCUAAGCGUGAAGCCCGUCCCAAGAUGAGACUUCUCAUCAGCAAUGAGUAAGACCCCUUAAAGACGAUGAGGUUGAUAGGCUGUGAGUGGAAGAGCCGCGAGGCUUGGAGCGACGCAGUACUAAUAGGUCGAGGUCUUAACUUA
rnacentral:rRNA from 1 species